GUGUCAGCCGCCGCGGUAAUACGAAGGUGGCAAGCGUUACUCGGAAUUACUAGGCGUAAAGCGUAGGUAGGUGGUUUGGUCAGUCUACUGUGAAAGCUCCCGGCUUAACCGGGAGAGGUCAGUGGAUACUACCAGACUUGAGUGUAGGAGAGGGUACUGGAAUUCCCGGAGUAGCGGUGAAAUGCGCAGAGAUCGGGAGGAACACCAAAGGCGAAAGCAGGUACCUGGACUAUUACUGACACUGAGCUACGAAAGCUAGGGGAGCAAACAGGAUUAGAUACCCUGGUAGUCCUAGCCGUAAACGAUGCACAUUAGACGUGAGAGGUAUCGACCCCUUUCGUGUCGCAGCAAACGCAUUAAAUGUGCCGCCUGGGGAGUACGACCGCAAGGUUGAAACUCAAAGGAAUUGACGGGGGCCCGCACAAGCGGUGGAGCAUGUGGUUUAAUUCGACGCAACGCGAAGAACCUUAUCCUGGGUUUGAACAGUAAGAAGUAGGCCUAUCGAAAGACUGGCCGACCCGUAAAGUCGGGAGCUUAUAGAGGUGCUGCAUGGCUGUCGUCAGCUCGUGUCGUGAGAUGUUGGGUUAAGUCCCGCAACGAGCGCAACCCCUAUCCUAUGUUGCCAGCACGUUAUGGUGGGGACUCGUAGGAGACUGCCGGGGUCAACUCGGAGGAAGGUGGGGACGACGUCAAGUCAUCAUGCCCCUUAUAUCCAGGGCUGCAAACAUGCUACAAUGGCCGGUACAAAGGGCUGCCAUACCGCGAGGUUGAGCGAAUCCCACAAAGCCGGUCUCAGUUCGGAUUGGAGUCUGCAACUCGACUCCAUGAAGCCGGAGUCGCUAGUAAUCCCGGAUCAGCAACGCCGGGGUGAAUACGUUCCCGGGCCUUGCACACACUGCCCGUC
rnacentral:rRNA from 1 species